GAUGAAGAACGCAGUGAAAUGCGAUACUUGGUGUGAAUUGCAGAAUCCCGUGAACCAUCGAGUCUUUGAACGCAAGUUGCGCCUCAAGCCAUUAGGUUGAGGGCACGUCUGCCUGGGCGUCAUAUAUCGUUGCCUGAUGCCAGUUUCCUCGUGAUGGGUGACUGUGCAGGGCGAAUGAUGGCUUCCCGUGAGCAUUGUUGCCUCAUGGUUGGUUGAAAAUUGAGUCCUUGGUAGGGAGCGCCGUGAUAGAUGGUGGUUGAGUGACGAACGAGACCCAAUCAUGUGAGACCCCUACCGAAUUUGGCCUUCAUGACCCACAUGCGUCUUUGGAACGCUCAUGACGAGACCUCAGGUCAGGCGGGGCUACCCGCUGAGUUUAAGCAUAUCAAUAAGCGGAGGA
rnacentral:misc_RNA from 1 species